GACGGAGGAUGCAAGUGUUAUCCGGAAUCACUGGGCGUAAAGCGUCUGUAGGUGGUUUAACAAGUCCACUGUUAAAGGUUGAAGCUUAACUUCAAAAAUGCUGUGGAAACUUUUAAACUAGAGUAUGGUAGGGGUAGAGGGAAUUUCCAGUGGAGCGGUGGAAUGCGUAGAUAUUGGAAAGACCACCAAUGGCGAAGGCACUCUACUGGGCCAUUACUGACACUGAGAGACGAAAGCUAGGGGAGCGAAUGGG
rnacentral:rRNA from 1 species